GACGAACGCUGGCGGCGUGCUUAGCACAUGCAAGUCGAACGGAAAGGCCCUGCUUGCAGGGUACUCGAGUGGCGAACGGGUGAGUAACACGUGGGUGAUCUGCCCUGCACUUCGGGAUAAGCCUGGGAAACUGGGUCUAAUACCGGAUAGGAGCCAUUUUUAGUGUGAUGGUUGGAAAGUUUUUUUCGGUGUAGGAUGAGCUCGCGGCCUAUCAGCUUGUUGGUGGGGUAAUGGCCUACCAAGGCGGCGACGGGUAGCCGGCCUGAGGGGGUGGACGGCCACAUUGGGACUGAGAUACGGCCCAGACUCCUACGGGAGGCAGCAGUGGGGAAUAUUGCACAAUGGGCGCAAGCCUGAUGCAGCGACGCCGCGUGGGGGAUGACGGCCUUCGGGUUGUAAACUCCUUUCGCUAGGGACGAAGCUUUUUGUGACGGUACCUAGAUAAGAAGCACCGGCUAACUACGUG
rnacentral:rRNA from 1 species